GCUAGGUGUGGUGGCACACACCUGUAGUCCCAGUUACUCGGGAGGCUGAGGCAGGAGGAUUGCUUGAGCCCAGGAGUUGGAAGCUGCAGUGAGCUAUCAUGGUCCACUGCACUCCAGCCUGGAUGACAGAGUGAGACCCUGUCUCUU
rnacentral:SRP_RNA from 1 species